rnacentral:rRNA from 1 species
CCUACGGGAGGCAGCAGUGAGGAAUAUUGGUCAAUGGACGAGAGUCUGAACCAGCCAAGUCGCGUGAAGGAUGACUGCCCUAUGGGUUGUAAACUUCUUUUAUAUGGGAAUAAAAUGUUCCACGUGUGGGAUUUUGUAUGUACCAUAUGAAUAAGGAUCGGCUAACUCAGUGCCAGCAGCCGCGGUAAUACGGAGGAUCCGAGCGUUAUCCGGAUUUAUUGGGUUUAAAGGGAGCGUAGGUGGCUUGUUAAGUCAGUGGUGAAAGUUUGCGGCUCAACCGUAAAAUUGCAGUUGAAACGGGCAGUUUUGAGUACAGUAGAGGUGGGCGGAAUGCGUGGGGUAGCGGUGAAAUGCUUAGAUAUCACGAAGAACUCCGAUUGCGAAGGCAGUUCACUGGACUGCAACUGACACUGAGGCUCGAAAGUGUGGGGAUCAAACAGGAUUAGAUACCCUGGUAGUC